CUGCCGUGGGGAAGCGCUCCCCGCCGGUUUUCCUGACCCUCAGCCCGGCUUUCGGGGCGGGGUACUGAGGUGGCUUUGGACGGAAGGAACCUGAGGCGAUCUGCGCUUGCAUUCGGUCUGAGCGCUCGGAGGGCCGUCCAGGCGGGGCUUAAGGGGAGGAAACUGCCUCGUGGAUCGUGCUGCGCGGUACAAGAGACCAGACCACGUUGUGGCUUCGGGAUCUAAGCUAGGGCUUAGGUCUGCNGUCGCAUGCCCGCAAGUGGGUCAGGAUGACACUUCUGUUCAAGGCGCUCCAUAAUAGUUCUUCGGACAUAAGUUAUUUGGCUUAGACAUGGAAGAACAAGACACAGAAGCCACCUCUGGAUUCUGACACUUUCGCAGCCGUCCUCUCUCUGCCGCCUCAGCGUCCAGAUUUCUGUUGANUUCACCAUUUGUCGGAAAAAACUGCCAGAGCUGAAAAAGGGAUGAAACUUAGUCUUGGAACAGGGCUGCAGGUGAUGGCAUCAAGAGAUUUGACAGAACAGCAACACAGGACAGUCAUGGCUCCUUCAUUCCUCAGACUGGUGUAGAAGAUCCAAUGCCAUUUUUUCCUUUAGCAGAGAAAAGUCACAACACCAAACNGGGGUCUCCAAAGGUAAAAUAAAAGUUUAUGUUCCUCUCUAACUCCA
rnacentral:lncRNA from 1 species